rnacentral:pre_miRNA from 1 species
GACUUCAACUGGAAAAAGUCAUCAACAACAAAGUUGUAUAAUCCAUCUAGAUCUACAAUUCUUAUUUUGGUCAUUUGUUCAUCUGAUAAAGUAUUUUUAACAUUGUUCACAAAUUUUACAAAUCCCCCAUAUGGUUUCAUAAAUUAUAAGAGAGGUGUGUAAAUUUUGUGAACAAUGUUACUAUCACUUUGUCGGAUGAAUAAAUGACCAAAAUAAAAGUUAUAGUUAUUGAUGAGUUAUACAACUUUAUUGUUGAUGACAUUUUCAGUUGAGGUU